UAGUGGAAGGCACUACUCAGCAGAUACAGAGAAGAUUAGCAUGGCCCCUGCGCAAGGAUAGGAGAAUCUGACCCUCAAGUUUAU
rnacentral:snRNA from 1 species